rnacentral:rRNA from 1 species
AAAGCGACGAUCCAUAGCCGGCCUGAGAGGGUGGACGGCCACAUUGGGACUGAGACACGGCCCAGACUCCUACGGGAGGCAGCAGUAGGGAAUAUUGCACAAUGGGGGAAACCCUGAUGCAGCGACGCCGCGUGAAGGAAGAAGUAUCUCGGUAUGUAAACUUCUAUCAGCAGGGAAGACAAUGACGGUACCUGACUAAGAAGCCCCGGCUAACUACGUGCCAGCAGCCGCGGUAAUACGUAGGGGGCAAGCGUUAUCCGGAUUUACUGGGUGUAAAGGGAGCGUAGACGGACCGGCAAGUCUGAAGUGAAAGGCAGGGGCUCAACCCCCGGACUGCUUUGGAAACUGUCCAUCUAGAGUACCGGAGAGGUAAGCGGAAUUCCUAGUGUAGCGGUGAAAUGCGUAGAUAUUAGGAGGAACACCAGUGGCGAAGGCGGCUUACUGGACGGUAACUGACGUUGAGGCUCGAAAGCGUGGGGAGCAAACAAGAUUAGAUACCCAGGUAGUCCACGCCGUAAACGAUGAAUUCUAGGUGUCGGGUGGCAAAGCCAUUCGGUGCCGCAGCAAACACAGUAAGUAUUCCACCUGGGGAGUUCGUUCGCAAGAAUGAAACUCAAAGGAAUCGACGGGGACCCGCACAAGCGGUGGAGCAUUUGGUUUAAUUGGAAGCAACGCGAAGAACCUUACCAAGUCUUGACAUCCGGAUGACGGGAACUUAACCGUUCCUUCCCUUCGGGGCAUCCGAGACAGGUGGUGCAUGGUGGUUGUCAGCUCGUGUCUCGAGAUGAAGGGUCAAGUCCCGCAACGAGCGCAACCCCUGUCCUUAGUAGCCAGCAGUCAGAUGGGCACUAUAGGGAGACUGCCGGGGAUAACCCGGAGGAAGGCGGGGACGACGUCAAAUCAUCACGCCCCAUACGAUGUGGGCUACACACGUGAUCCAACGGCGUAAACAAAGGGAAGCGAACCUGCGAAGGUAAGCAAAUCCCAAAAACAACGUUCCAGCUCGGAGUGCAGUCUGCAACUCGAGUGCACGAAGCAGGAAUCGCUAGUAAUCGCGAAUCAGAAUGUCGCGGUGAAUACGUUCCCGGGUCUUGCACAAAGCGCCCUUC